rnacentral:rRNA from 1 species
CGAAAAUAACGAUGCAGAACUCAUUCCGAGGCUCUGCAAUCGGAAUGAGCACACUCUAAAUCAUUUAACGAGUAUCCAUUGGAGGAAAAGUCUGGUGCCAGCACCCGCGGUAAUUCCAGCUCCAAAAGCGUAUAUUAAAGUUGUUGCGGUUAAAAAGCUCGUAGUUGGAUCUGUGUUUCACGCUGUCGGUUCACCGUUUGGUCGGUGUUUAACUAACAUGUCGUGGUACGUCCUGCCGGUUGGUUAUGGUGUUCUGCAGCGAUGUGGUCGCCAUAUACCAGUUCCAAUCCUGUCGCGGUGCUCUUCACCGAGUGUCGAGGCGGGCCGGCACGUUUACCUUGAACAAAUUUGAGUGCUUAAAGCAGGCUAUAUACGCCAGAAAACUGUGUGCAUGGAAUAAUAUAAUAGGAUCUCGGUUCUAUUUUGUUGGUUUUCAGAGUCCGAGGUAAUGAUUAAUAGGGACAGGCGGGGGCAUUAGUAUUGCGACGUUAGAGGUGAAAUUCUUGGAUCGUCGCAAGACUAACCUAAGCGAAAGCAUUUGCCAAGGAUGCUUCCAUUAAUCAAGAACGAAAGUUAGAGGUUCGAAGGCGAUCAGAUACCGCCCUAGUUCUAACCAUAAACGAUGCCAGCCAGCGAUCUGCCACAGUUCUUUUAUUAUGACUUGGCAGGCAGCUUCCGGGAAACUAAAGCAUUUGGGUUCCGGGGGAAGUAUGGUUGCAAAGCUGAAACUUAAAGGAAUUGACGGAAAGGCACCACCAGGAGUGGAGCCUGCGGCUUAAUUUGACUCAACACGGGAAAUCUCACCAGGCCAGAACACCAGGUGGAUUGACAGAUUGAGAGCUCUUUCUUGAUUUGGUGGGUGGUGGUGCAUGGCCG